CUACGUGCCAGCAGCCGCGGUAAUACGGAAGGUUCAGGCGUUAUCCGGAUUUAUUGGGUUUAAAGGGAGCGUAGGCGGAUUAUUAAGUCAGUGGUGAAAGACGGUGGCUCAACCAUCGUUAGCCAUUGAAACUGGUAGUCUUGAGUGCAGACAGGGAUGCUGGAACUCGUGGUGUAGCGGUGAAAUGCUUAGAUAUCACGAUGAACUCCGAUCGCGAAGGCAGCUGACGGGAGCGCAACUGACGCUGAAGCUCGAAGGUGCGGGUAUCGAACAGGAUUAGAUACCCUGGUAGUCCGCACAGUAAACGAUGGAUGCCCGCUGUUGGUACCUGGUAUCAGCGGCUAAGCGAAAGCAUUAAGCAUCCCACCUGGGGAGUACGCCGGCAACGGUGAAACUCAAAGGAAUUGACGGGGGCCCGCACAAGCGGAGGAACAUGUGGUUUAAUUCGAUGAUACGCGAGGAACCUUACCCGGGCUUGAA
rnacentral:rRNA from 1 species